UGGGGAAUUUUGCACAAUGGGGGAAACCCUGAUGCAGCGACGCCGCGUGAUUUAGAAGGCCUUCGGGUUGUAACAAUCUUUUCUAUGGGAAGAAAAUGACAGUACCAUAGGAAUAAGGACCGGCUAAUUACGUGCCAGCAGCCGCGGUAAUACGUAAGGUCCGAGCGUUGUCCGGUAUCAUUGGGCGUAAAGGGUACGUAGGCGGGUAAGCAAGUUAGAAGUGAAAUCCUAUAGCUCAACUAUAGUAAGCUUUUAUAACUGCUCAUCUGGAGGUAUGGAAGGGAAAGUGGAAUUCCUAGUGUAGCGGUGAAAUGCGCAGAUAUUAGGAGGAAUACCGGUGGCGAAGGCGACUUUCUGGCCAUAACCUAACGCUGAGGUACGAAAGCGUGGGUAGCAAACAGG
rnacentral:rRNA from 1 species